AGAGAGAGAGAGAGAGAGGAGCCAGUAAAAGAUCGCCCAUGUUCAUAAUAGGAAAUUAAGGUCUUCAAGUCCAUUCAGCCGAUGCCACAAAGGGGGCUCCAUUUGUUGCACUCAGAGUGAAGAAGAAUUUUUAAGAGAAAUUAUCAGGCAAAGUCACACUUAAACCAUGAUGGUCUUAAUUUCCUAAAAACAUCUGUCAAAGUAGUAGAUCUCAUAUUCUAUUAGCUAAUUUUAAUUUUAGACCUUUUUCCACAUCCAGCAACUAUUCUAUAACCCCAUCUUGUCUACUACGAGCUUUUCCUGAUGCAGAAUCACUAUCUUGGUAGAAAAUGAAAAAUCAACUAAAUAUUUCUUACAUUUACAAUUAAAAUGUUGCGUGAGAGGCACAACUUCAGUUUAGCUUUGAUAUCGCUAAGGGCAAGCGAGGAGCCGAGGUGAGGCCACCCUCUAGCGCCUCAACUGGCUCUGCCUUGCCUUGCUUCAAUGAGGCAAUCGCCCCAGUAGAUGAGGCGCCUCGCUUGAGGCGAUGAGGCAACGCCUUAUAGAAGG
rnacentral:misc_RNA from 1 species